rnacentral:lncRNA from 1 species
AGAUGAACCCAACCAACUUCAGAUCCAGCAAAAAAACUCGGUAAAAAUCUAGAAAGCAGAAAAAGACGAGUGGCUUUAGGUAUGCUCGAGUUAUUAAUUAAUUAACUUGCGCAACCUUGCCCCAUAUUUAUAACUUAGGCGAGAAUCUUGCUUCAAAGCGUUAAAUCCAUAUAGAACAAGAUAAGUUUAAGAUUAUACGGAUAAGGAUUAGGAUUAGGAUAAAGAUAAAGAUUAAAAUAAAGAUAAAAUCGACAAAAUAAAAAUGGGUGUAUGGACUGUGCGCGCCGCUGCUUGCCCCGGCUCGAUCGUGCCGUGCGUGCGUGUGUUUAAACGAGAGUAUAACUUUCAUUUUUUUCCAAGCAACUAGCUUGAGAAUAAAUGAAUAUAUAAAAAUCACAAACACCUUUUUGGUUUUCAAUGUGGGACUAAAUAUCACACAUAAAAAUUUUAGUUGGACUCCCAAGAGGCCCAUAAACAAUUAUUGGGCUCCUUAAGUGGUUUUAAUAAGUUUUAAAUCACAAAAACGCAAUAAAAUCCAAUCGUUACCGAAGCCACAGCAGUCGUUAUCGAAGCAGGUUGCGGAUUCUCAAGAUCCGGUAUUAGGGCGAGUACCGG